UACGUAGGGCGCAAGCGUUUGUCCGGAAUUAUUGGGCGUAAAGAGCUCGUAGGCGGCUUGUCGCGUCGUCCGUGAAAACCUGCAGCUCAACUGCAGGCUUGCGGUCGAUACGGGCAGGCUAGAGUUCGGUAGGGGAGACUGGAAUUCCUGGUGUAGCGGUGGAAUGCGCAGAUAUCAGGAGGAACACCGGUGGCGAAGGCGGGUCUCUGGGCAGUAACUGACGCUGAGGAGCGAAAGCGUGGGGAGCGAACAGG
rnacentral:rRNA from 1 species